AGGUGCAAUCAUACCAACGUUAAUGCACCGGAUCCCAUCAGAACUCCGUAGUAAAGCAUGCUUGGGCUAGAGUAGUACAGGGAUGGGUGACCUCUAGGGAAGUCUUAGUGUUGCACCCU
rnacentral:rRNA from 1 species